AACGAACGCUGGCGGCAGGCCUAACACAUGCAAGUCGAGCGCCCUUUCGGGGGAGCGGCGGACGGGUGAGUAACGCGUGGGAAUAUGCCCUUCUCUACGGAAUAGCCUCGGGAAACUGAGAGUAAUACCGUAUACGCCCUGUGGGGGAAAGAUUUAUCGGGGAAGGAUUAGCCCGCGUUGGAUUAGGUAGUUGGUGGGGUAAUGGCCUACCAAGCCGACGAUCCAUAGCUGGUUUGAGAGGAUGAUCAGCCACACUGGGACUGAGACACGGCCCAGACUCCUGGGGGAGGCAGCAGGGGGGAAUAUGAAACAAGGGGGGAAACCAGAAUCUCGCCGGGCGGGGUGAGUGAGGAGGGCGUAAGGGUAAAAAAGCUCUUUGAGCGGGGAGGAUAAUGAGGGUACCAGCAAAAGAGGCCCAGCCUACCCCGGU
rnacentral:rRNA from 1 species